rnacentral:lncRNA from 1 species
GAAAAGCUAAAUUGCAACUACUCCUAGACUUAAGACUACUUAUGGUAGGUGUACCAUCAAUUAAGCUUUAACUAAUACAUGUUUGAAAUUAUCUGUAGGAUGACUAAAAAUGUCUAAAGGGGGGUGAAUAAGCCAAUUAAAAAUUACAAUCAAUAAACUUUGAUACUAGGAUUGAUAUGGCUUAUCAAUCCUAAAACGUGCUGAACAUAAAAUAAAGGAACACGCAUAGAAUUAUUUUACGUGAUAAAACCUUACCUCUAGAGAAAAUCUAUGAGACUCCUCAGUCUAAUACAAAUCCAUUAUAGAAUGAAGAUUACAAGAAGGUAGAAAAUUGGUGGUUGGGCAAUGGUCGGUAUUGAAGCAAGACUUGCAAUGGCUCUGGUACUGUAAGGUAGAAAAUUGGAGAUCGGGUAAUAAAUGCUGAGGAAUCAUGCUCCUUGCUAGAAAUGGGCUUAGGUUUUUGGCAAUCCCAAGCAGCCCAAAACUUAUAUUUCUUGAACCUUUUGACGGGCAUCAUCAAUCCUUGUAACUAUCUACACCACUACUCGCUCAGCAAGCCCCAUGCAUGUAUGUGGUUUAAGCCCACUUAAGCUUGUCG